rnacentral:snoRNA from 1 species
AUCCUCCAGUUUCCUUGACCCUCAGACCUAAACACUGGUCUGCAUGGUUGUCAAAUGAGGAAAGGGCAAUUGAAACAGACUUCAAUGCUUUUGUGACACAGAACUAGUUUCAAACAAAC